UGGGCUUGAGUGUGAUAGGCUGUUUAUCUAGACCAGCCAAGCUCUGGAGAGCAAUGUUGAAUCCCUGGGAAGAGCGAGCAUGGAGUGUGCUGAUUUAAAAACAGAAAAUGCAAAGUUGGACUGAAAAUAUCCUUAGUCUUCCAAGCAAUCUGCUUAAGGGUUCCAAACUUACCUUAAUUUGGUGAGAAAAGAAGCUGCCCUAUUUUUCUUUCUUCUUCUACAACUGGAACCAGCCAUUUCCAAAAACUACCGCCAUG
rnacentral:other from 1 species